CCUACGGGUGGCAGCAGUGGGGAAUAUUGCACAAUGGGCGCAAGCCUGAUGCAGCCAUGCCGCGUGUAUGAAGAAGGCCUUCGGGUUGUAAAGCACUUUCAGCGAGGAGGAAGGUGUUAAGGUUAAUAACCUUAGCGAUUGACGUUACUCGCAGAAGAAGCACCGGCUAACUCCGUGCCAGCAGCCGCGGUAAUACGGAGGGUGCAAGCGUUAAUCGGAAUUACUGGGCGUAAAGCGCACGCAGGCGGUUCGUUAAGUCGGAUGUGAAAUCCCCGGGCUCAACCUGGGAACUGCAUUCGAAACUGGCAAGCUUGAGUCUUGUAGAGGGGGGUAGAAUUCCAGGUGUAGCGGUGAAAUGCGUAGAGAUCUGGAGGAAUACCGGUGGCGAAGGCGGCCCCCUGGACAAAGACUGACGCUCAGGUGCGAAAGCGUGGGGAGCAAACAGGAUUAGAUACCCCGGUAGUC
rnacentral:rRNA from 1 species